UGACUGGCGACGUCUGCAGUGUGUGUCCCUCGGCUCGUACCCACACCGCCUUGCAGGGGCAGGGGAGGAGAGCUGCUGGGCUUUGCCGCGCAGUGCCUGACUGCGCUGUAAGACAGAUUGUGCUGUGAGAAAGUAAGAAAUGGACCUAAUGAAAUGAAUUGAACUUUCACCAGAGCACUUGCUAAGUGAGUCAUGAAUCAAACACAACAGGGACCACUGGACAUCCAUCUGCUGUGGUUAGAGGCUGCCUUGUAAUUCCUCAGAGCUGACAGAACCCCAUAAGAAAAGGAAACGGACUGGGCUCCACAAGUGAAGAUGUGCCUCUAUCUAGAACACAGAUGGAUGCGAUUAAGAGAGCAUUUAACUACAGGUUGGCUAUAGAAGACCUCGUGGGAGAGGAA
rnacentral:lncRNA from 1 species